UUGCUCUGUUUAGAACGGGAUGGAAAGGGCUUCUGGCAGCUGUUCCGAUUGUAUCGCUUGCAUGAGAGACCUCUGAGCUUGGCAUCUGAGGAUAACAUCUGUCACUCAUCCAGCACUUUAAGACAAUGAGUACAAAGAAAAUGUAUUGAUUCUGAACGUGGCGUGCCCUUGCUGGCUGGACCCAUGACGGAGGAAAAGUUUGCAGGACUUAUGGCCUGGAGGCCCUGUGUGCAGGAGUGAAGGACGGAGAAAGCGCAUGGGAGAGUAAAGCAAGGGAACAGAGAGGGGAGAGAGGAGACAGCGGAGGGGAACAUCCUUUGUUCUCAUCACGCAGAAGCAAAUGCAAAGCUUUGACGUUGGCGUUCAGGACAUCUGCUGGAUCACAUAAGGUCUACAUUGGCUCUCGUCUUAGACAUUGAGGGAGAGUCCUGCAGUCCAUCACAACGAGGAGACAGCAGCAUCACUGAAGAGCUCUAGAUGAAAUAUGAGGUAUAUGGUGCGUGAAGAAAAGAAACAUCAAGAUUCUAAGUGAUCCUGUGACUCAGUCCAGUCCAGCAAAAACUACUCAUGGACCAUUGACUUUGAGUUUCGCGGGCAUCGAGUUCAGCUCCACCCAUCAAUCAUCUCUCGCUGCAGUGAUGCACCUGUAAGAGAAUUGUGAAUUGUUUGAGCAUGUACAUGAGCGUGUGUGUUCGUUUCAGCAU
ensembl:lncRNA